GCUCGAGUGGCGAACGGGUGAGUAACACGUGAGUAACCUGCCCUUGACUUUGGGAUAACUUCAGGAAACUGGGGCUAAUACCGGAUAGGAGCUCCUGCUGCAUGGUGGGGGUUGGAAAGUUUCGGCGGUUGGGGAUGGACUCGCGGCUUAUCAGCUUGUUGGUGGGGUAGUGGCUUACCAAGGCUUUGACGGGUAGCCGGCCUGAGAGGGUGGCCGGCCACAUUGGGACUGAGAUACGGCCCAG
rnacentral:rRNA from 1 species